GUUGAGCUACUACAUAAAAAAUACGUUCAUUUGCAGUCUGCAGAGGCAAGGCCGCUCCAAACACGUUGUCUGCUUUUAAGGGAGAAUUAAUAAGAAAAGGACUGACAACAGGAGCAAAGGAAUGGAUUGAGAAGGGGCAAUGUUACUGAAAGCAUAAGGACAGCGACGCUACCUUUUCUCAACAGAUUUUUUACUACAAAUUCAAGCUAUUGAGUGUCUCAGACGCGGGAAGUGCGUAGAAGUAGAUAAAAUUGAUCAAAAAUAUAUUUAGGAAAGUAAAAAUCACGCUUUAUUAACAAAUCAACUAAAUUGUCUCACUUGCUCGUAAAAUAAAAUAUCAAUACUUUUACUUUACAUAAUAUUAAAUGUACAGAAUUAGUCAUUUAAAACUCAUAACAGGAUUAUAGAAAAUAUAUUAAGUACACACAAUAAAACUCAUACAUUAG